UACGGGGGGGGCAAGCGUUGUUCGGAAUUACUGGGCGUAAAGGGCUCGUAGGCGGCCAACUAAGUCAAACGUGAAAUCCCUCGGCUUAACCGGGGAACUGCGCUUGAUACUGGAUGGCUUGAGAUUGGGAGAGGGAUGCGGAAUUCCAGGUGUAGCGGUGAAAUGCGUAGAUAUCUGGAGGAACACCGGUGGCGAAGGCGCAUCCUGGACCAACACUGACGCUGAGGAGCG
rnacentral:rRNA from 1 species